GAUGAACGCUAGCUACAGGCUUAACACAUGCAAGUCGAGGGACCGGCGCACGGGUGAGUAACACGUAUCCAACUUUCCGUUUACUCAGGGAUAGCCUUUCGAAAGAAAGAUUAAUACCUGAUAGUAAACGAUGGGGAUGCGUUCCAUUAGGUAGUAGGCGGGGUAACGGCCCACCUAGCCGACGAUGGAUAGGGGUUCUGAGAGGAAGGUCCCCCACAUUGGAACUGAGACACGGUCCAAACUCUACGGGAGGCAGCAGUGAGGAAUAUUGGUCAAUGGGCGAGAGCCUGAACCAGCCAAGUAGCGUGAAGGAUGAAGGUCUACGGAUUGUAAACUUCUUUUAUACGGGAAUAUGUACCGUAUGAAUAAGCAUCGGCUAACUCCGUGCCAGCAGCCGCGGUAAUACGGAGGAUGCGAGCGUUAUCCGGAUUUAUUGGGUUUAAAGGGAGCGCAGACGGGAGAUUAAGUCAGUUGUGAAAGUUUGCGGCUCAACCGUAAAAUUGCAGUUGUACUGGUUUCCUUGAGUGCAGUUGAGGCAGGCGGAAUUCGUGGUGUAGCGGUGAAAUGCUUAGAUAUCACGAAGAACCCCGAUUGCGAAGGCAGCUUGCUAAACUGUAACUGACGUUCAUGCUCGAAAGUGUGGGUAUCAAACAGGAUUAGAUACCCUGGUAGUCCACACGGUAAACGAUGGAUACUCGCUGUUGGCCAGCGGCCAAGCGAAAGCAUUAAGUAUCCCACCUGGGGAGUACGCCGGCAACGGUGCAACUCAAAGGAAUUGACGGA
rnacentral:rRNA from 1 species